rnacentral:misc_RNA from 1 species
UGAAGUCGUAACAAGGUAACCGUAGAGAACCUGCGGUUGGAUCACCUCCUUUCUAGAGUACAAACUGAUAAGUCUCACAACUAUCAGUUCAUAUAUAGACUCAAUCAUCCUUGUUUAGAUUUCAAAGAUUGAUGAAAAGCUAAUUUUGGGGAAUUAGCUCAGCUGGGAGAGCGCCUGCUUUGCACACAGGAGGUCAGCGGUUCGAUCCCGCUAUUCUCCACCAUUUUUAAGGGCCUAUAGCUCAGCUGGUUAGAGUGCACCCCUGAUAAGGGUGAGGUCACAAGUUCAAGUCUUGUUAGGCCCACCAUAAAAAAAGAUUUGUUUAUCAAUCAUAUAAUAAAGUUUUAAAACUUAAAGCAAGUAUAUAGCUAAUAAUAAAGCAAUAAGUAAAGUAAAAUACUUUAUUACUUAUGUUUUUAAAUUAUUUAAACUCUUUAUAUAUACUUCCUUUAGGUUUUAAGACCUAAGCUAAAUAAAUAAUAGAAUAUUUUAUAUAUUAGAUUAGUUAUUUAAUGUUAUUUGAAUUAUCAUUGUUAAGAGUCACAAGCAAGUUUUAAUAAAACAAUUUUACAGGACUUGUUAAAGGAUAAAACCUAACUAUCUUUUCUUUAGCUUUUAGUUAAAGACAAGUUUUAAACUCACAACUUAGUUAGACUAAUAUUUUUAGGUUUAUUAAGUGUUUAAAUGCUUUCCGUCUUAAGAUAGUAAAGUCUUAUCAAAAAAACUUUAACAAGGAAGUGAUGCGUUUCAGAAUAAAUUCAAAAGGCAAGCCAUUAAGAGCGAAUGGUGGAUGCYUUGGCUGGVAAAGGCGAUGAAGGACGUACUAAG